CGCGGUAAUUCCAGCUCCAAUAGCGUAUAUUAAAGUUGUUGCAGUUAAAAAGCUCGUAGUUGAAUUUCUGUUCGGUUCUCGCUCGAAGACAUUUGUCAACUUGCGCGACCGAACAUCAUGAACUUGCACGUGGCAACACGCGUAUGUUCACCUUUACUUUGAGAAAAUUAGAGUGUUUCAAGCAAGCGUCCGCUUUGAAUACUACAGCAUGGAAUAAUACAAUAGGACUUUAGGCCUAUUUGUUGGUUUCAGGCCUGAAGUAAUGAUUAAUAGGGACGGUUGGGGGCAUUCGUAUUGGAUAGUCAGCGGUGAAAUGCGUGGAUUUAUUCAAGACGAACUACUGCGAAAGCAUUUGCCAAAGAUGUUU
rnacentral:rRNA from 1 species